UUUGAAGCCAAGUAACGUACUCUUGAAUGAUUGUUCGCAUGUUCGAGUGGCUGACUUUGGGCAUGCUCGAUUCCUACCUGAGGGAGAGGCAGCACUAACACGUGAAAUAGGUAAAGGAAGGAGAUGGGCCUAACAGGUUCGGGUUUUGGGUCCCAAUCCGAUCUAAAAUCCGGCAUAGAUCUAUUUAUUUAAACAGAGAAUCUUGCAUUGAGGCCCUUGAUCAAGGCUAAUUCAAUUAAGCCCUUUUGACAAUUGACUAAAUCAGACCAUGUUGAAUUAAUUUAGUUUAGGGGUGUUUUGCAAUUAAACCCUGACAAAGUAUUUAUUAUAUAAAGGUUUUUUAACUUCUCUCACAAAAGAAACACAACCACUCAACCCCACAUCUACUGUCCAAAUGAUCCACAUCAUCGAUCCGCGACAUCUACUUCAACGGUUCCUAUUUGCUCCGUCGCCCAAAAUAAAACAAAGACGUCCCACCCCUAGCCCGUACGGACCCGGUUCGUCUCCGCCCAACAGUUGCCGGGCUCAAACCCAACACCUCAACCCGAGCCAUCGAACCCAACCAAAACUGAAAUAAAUCGAUGACACGGACCAUUUGGACAGUAGAUGUGGGUUUGAGUGCGUUGUAUUUCUUUCGUGAGAGAGAGAAAGAGAAGAGUGUUUGGCUGGUGCCAGCGGAGAUUUUUUUUUUCCUUUCUUUCUUUUUUUUCUGAGUUAUGGUGGGGGAUUUGAGAAAGUAGAUAAUAUCGGUGGAGAAAGCAUGAGCUCCUCUCAAUCGACAACAUAAAAUCAACGAUUAAUGGGUGCAUGUCUUCUCCCACCAGCAAAUUGAUGGGUGGUCACAGAGCUGUUGAGUGGAAAGACUUUAACAGAAUGGUUGCAUGGACAUACGGAGAGGCAAAGAGAAAGGUCAAUACCUCUUCCCCCUUUGAAAGAAAGGUUAAAGAAGGCACUGGAAGUUGCUCAGACAGUGCAAUAUCUUCAUGAACAAAAACCCAUUGUCAUCCACAAAGAUUUGAAGCCACGUAACAUACUCCUGGAUGAUUGUUCGCAUGUUUGAGUGGCUGACUUUGGGCAUGCUCGGUUCCUACCUGAGGGAGAGGCAGCACUGACAGGUGAAAUAGGUAAAGGAAGGAGAUGGGCCUAACGGGUUUGGGUUUUGGAUGCCAAUCCGAUCUGAAAUCCGACAUAGAUCUAUUUAUUUAAACAGGGAAUCUUGCAUUUAGGCCCUUGAUAAAGGCUAAUUCAAUUAAGCCCUUUUGACAAUUGACUGAACUAGACCAUGUUGAGUUAAUUUAGUUUAGGGGUGUUUUGCAAUUAAACCCUGACAAAGUAUUUAUUAUAUAA
rnacentral:lncRNA from 1 species